rnacentral:rRNA from 1 species
AUACGGAGGGUGCAAGCGUUGUUCGGAAUCACUGGGCGUAAAGGGCGCGCAGGCGGUUUGGUAAGUCAGAUGUGAAAGCCCACGGCUCAACCGUGGAAGUGCAUUUGAAACUGUCAGACUUGAGUACUAGAGGGGAAAGUGGAAUUCCCGGUGUAGAGGUGAAAUUCGUAGAUAUCGGGAGGAAUACCGGUGGCGAAGGCGACUUUCUGGCUAGAUACUGACGCUGAGGCACGAAAGCGUGGGGAGCAAACAGGAUUAGAAACCCUAGUAGUCC